ACAGCCACCUGAGCUCUGACCCGGGCUCGCUUCCCCACCGGCCCCACACAGACCCCCGUUUGCCUGCAAUGGCACAGGGUCCCCAGGGGAGCGACCUGCUGCUGGCAUUCCAGACACGGGGAAAGGGACACCGUCUGGCAAACAUCUCUUUCUCCGGGCUGAUUCCUCUGUCUCCUGCAGCCGCUUAGCUCUACAUCGGGGGGAGUGUGGUGUGAGCCUAAGGUCCCCACAGCCCCCCACGUGCUUGCCGGAUUCCUGGGCAGUGUUUACCAGAUCCGUUCAACGGUCCCCAUGGCUGCGGCUUCCUAAUACCGAGGAGUCCCGGGAGGGGACUGAGCUCGGCCUCAAUCUGGAGAUAAACACAGUCACUACCAGACAUCAAGCACUUGCUUUGGGCUCAGCACCUUCCGCACGUGCAGGAAGGUGGGUACCAGCACCCCCAUCAAAUCACUGAGGAGACAGAAGCAGAGAGAGGUUAAGCAAUCAGCCCACAGGCACACAGCUAAGGAGAAGCGUUAGCAAGGGGGAAGCUUGGUG